UGCAAGUCGAACGAAGAGCGAUGGAAGCUUGCUUCUAUCAAUCUUAGUGGCGAACGGGUGAGUAACGCGUAAUCAACCUGCCCUUCAGAGGGGGACAACAGUUGGAAACGACUGCUAAUACCGCAUACGAUCUAACCUCGGCAUCGAGGAAAGAUGAAAGGUGGCCUCUAUGUAUAAGCUAUCACUGAAGGAGGGGAUUGCGUCUGAUUAGCUAGUUGGAGGGGUAACGGCCCACCAAGGCGAUGAUCAGUAGCCGGUCUGAGAGGAUGAUCAGUCACACUGGAACUGAGACACGGUCCAGACUCCUACGGGAGGCAGCAGUGGGGAAUAUUGGACAAUGGGCGAAAGCCUGAUCCAGCCAUGCCGCGUGUGUGAAGAAGGUCUUCGGAUUGUAAAGCACUUUAAGUUGGGAGGAAGGGCAGUAAGUUAAUACCUUGCUGUUUUGACGUUACCAACAGAAUAAGCACCGGCUAACUUCGNGCCAGCAGCCGCGGU
rnacentral:rRNA from 1 species